UGACGUCAAGUCCUCAUGGCCCUUAUGGGUAGGGCUUCACACGUCAUACAAUGGUCGGUACAGAGGGUUGCCAAGCCGCGAGGCGGAGCCAAUCCCACAAAGCCGAUCGUAGUCCGGAUUGUUCUCUGCAACUCGAGAGCAUGAAGUCGGAAUCGCUAGUAAUCGCAGGUCAGCAUACUGCGGUGAAUACGUUCCCGGGUCUU
rnacentral:rRNA from 1 species